rnacentral:tRNA from 1 species
GCAGUCGUGGCCGAGUGGUUAAGGCGAUGAACUAGAAAUCCAUUGGGGUCUCCCCACACAGGUUCGAGUCCUGUCGACUGCG